UGGGGGAACACUUUUAGCAUAAAAGAAGCCAGGAAUAGGGACAAGAGAAAAGGGGCCAUCCUCUAGGAAAGCGUUGGAGAAGGAUGAUGAUGAUGAUUGGGUCCGUUCGUUCCUCCUCCACCACUAGCUCAGCUGGUGGUCAACUUCACCCACUCGCGAUUGGACUUUUUCCCAACUUGGGCAACCUUCUUCCCUUGGCAUCUCCCUCCUUGUCGUUUCCG
rnacentral:lncRNA from 1 species